UUGACGUUAGCGACAGAAGAAGCACCGGCUAACUCCGUGCCAGCAGCCGCGGUAAUACGGAGGGUGCGAGCGUUAAUCGGAAUUACUGGGCGUAAAGCGCAUGCAGGUGGUUUGUUAAGUCAGAUGUGAAAGCCCGGGGCUCAACCUCGGAAUAGCAUUUGAAACUGGCAGACUAGAGUACUGUAGAGGGGGGUAGAAUUUCAGGUGUAGCGGUGAAAUGCGUAGAGAUCUGAAGGAAUACCGGUGGCGAAGGCGGCCCCCUGGACAGAUACUGACACUCAGAUGCGAAAGCGUGGGGAGCAAACAGGAUUAGAUACCCUGGUAGUCCACGCCGUAAACGAUGUCUACUUGGAGGUUGUGGCCUUGAGCCGUGGCUUUCGGAGCUAACGCGUUAAGUAGACCGCCUGGGGAGUACGGUCGCAAGAUUAAAACUCAAAUGAAUUGACGGGGGCCCGCACAAGCGGUGGAGCAUGUGGUUUAAUUCGAUGCAACGCGAAGAACCUUACCUACUCUUGACAUCCAGAGAACUUUCCAGAGAUGGAUUGGUGCCUUCGGGAACUCUGAGACAGGUGCUGCAUGGCUGUCGUCAGCUCGUGUUGUGAAAUGUUGGGUUAAGUCCCGCAACGAGCGCAACCCUUAUCCUUGUUUGCCAGCGAGUAAUGUCGGGAACUCCAGGGAGACUGCCGGUGAUAAACCGGAGGAAGGUGGGGACGACGUCAAGUCAUCAUGGCCCUUACGAGUAGGGCUACACACGUGCUACAAUGGCGCAUACAGAGGGCAGCAAGCUAGCGAUAGUGAGCGAAUCCCAAAAAGUGCGUCGUAGUCCGGAUUGGAGUCUGCAACUCGACUCCAUGAAGUCGGAAUCGCUAGUAAUCGUGGAUCAGAAUGCCACGGUGAAUACGUUCCCGGGCCUUGUACACACCGCCCGUCACACCAUGGGAGUGGGCUGCAAAAGAAGUAGGUAGUUUAACCUUCGGGAGGACGC
rnacentral:rRNA from 1 species